CAGCCACCGCGGGAGGAGCGGAAGCCGCCGGCCUCGCCCGUUCAGAGCUACGCGGGCCGGAGCUCUGAGGAGUGGCGGCCGUCUAUCUCCGGCCCGACCCCGUCCGAGCACCCCCGCCCCAGCCCGAGUGCCCACCUGAGCCGGCGCCAUGGCGGAGCAGGAGAGCCUUGAGUUUGGCAAGGCGGACUUCGUGCUGAUGGACACCGUCUCCAUGCCCGAGUUCAUGGCCAACCUUAGGCUCAGAUGCUAUGGAGUGAACCCUAAGCUGUCUGUUCCGGGACACGGGCUAUAUUUUAGUUACUCAUUCGACGUAAUUAGACACGUUUCCAGACAUCGAAGAGACUGCUGUACUUGCCAGUGCCAAGAUAAACUGUCUGAAUUUGACAAGGCGUCCAUGGUUUCAGUUUUUUCAAGGAGUUAUGGAUGGAGCCCUUGUGUUACUGACAUCCUUGAGAAUUUAGUUUCAACUCGAUGCCCCAAAAUGAGCUUCCAAGAGGAACUUAUUUUAGAAAGUCUUCUCUAGGUGAUUAUUUCGUUUUCAAACAGUAAUUUGUAAUCCAAGUAUUAAAGUGGUUUGACUUAAAAAAAACAAAACAAAACCCUGAAACAG
rnacentral:lncRNA from 1 species